GACGAACGCUGGCGGCGUGCUUAACACAUGCAAGUCGAACGGAAAGGCCCUGCUUGCAGGGUGCUCGAGUGGCGAACGGGUGAGUAACACGUGGGUGAUCUGCCCCUUACUUUGGGAUAAGCCUGGGAAACUGGGUCUAAUACUGGAUAGGACCAUGCUGUAGGUGGUGUGGUGGAAAGAUUAGUUUCGGUAAGGGAUGAGCUCGCGGCCUAUCAGCUUGUUGGUGGGGUAAUGGCCUACCAAGGCGUCGACGGGUAGCCGGCCUGAGAGGGUGGACGGCCACAUUGGGACUGAGAUACGGCCCAGACUCCUACGGGAGGCAGCAGUGGGGAAUAUUGGACAAUGGGCGCAAGCCUGAUGCCGCGACGCCGCGUGGGGGAUGACGGCCUUCGGGUUGUAAACUCCUUUCAGCCAUGACGAAGCCCUUGUGGUGACGGUAGUGGUAGAAGAAGCACCGGCUAACUACGUG
rnacentral:rRNA from 1 species